rnacentral:tRNA from 1 species
GCCGCGGUGGUGGAAUGGCAGACACGAAGGUCUCAAAAACCUUUGUCUAUAAUGGACGUGAGAGUUCGACUCUCUCCCGCGGCA